rnacentral:lncRNA from 13 species
GCCUCAGAAUUUUCAAGCCUGCUGGGAAAACUUGCACCUGGCUGGGUCACAGAGCACUCCACGCACUGAGUGAUUUGUGAUUUUUGGUCAGGACACAAAACGGUGGAGGAAUCUGGGGAGAUUCUACAACCACUUUUAUCAGAAAGUGCUGAAUAUCACAGAACACAAAGAAAGGAGAAAGAGAAACUGACAGCCUAUAAAUGUUGCACGAAGGUUCAGACAUACACAGUUCUGCUGGCUUUUUAAGGAGCAGUGUUUUCUAUAUCCUGAGGCAGAUGGACAUGUUGGGAUGGAGUUGCUGAACUCUAAUCUGCCUAAGUACCCACCCCCGGCAUGUCACUGACCUCCUUCAAGCAUCCCACCUGCAGAAGAUGAUCUCUGGCCCAUCAGUCAGAUCUGGAAACCCUAUUUCUGUGCUCCACUAGGAUAACAUAUUCACCUGUAGCCAUUAUUUUUUUGUACUCAUUACUCUUCUGUGAGGAUUAAAGAUUCUUGCUGGAAGAGACUAUGCAUGAUUUCUUCUUGAUGUUGCCACCAAUAGAAAAGAGCUGGCUCAUAGGUGCUUAAUGUAUUUUGAAUGAAUACAUGGGAAUGGAGUUUGAAUUCAAGGUAAGAGUAUUUCAUGGUAUACUCUAUUUACAGUUAAGGGACAGAAGUACAUUCAUUUGACUUGGUAUUAAUCCUUGCUGCUAAAUAUCAUUUAACUGUCCUUUAAAUCUCUGAAGGAUUGUUGUUUUGUUUCAGUUUUCAUUUUUGCUCUGCCUCGUUUUGUUGUCUAAGUCUGUGGCAAAGCUUUCCUCUGAGGCCAUGGCUAGACCUGGGCCUGCCCUCUGGUCCAUCUCAGUGCUAACAUACUAGCCUAUAUCAGCUCUCUAUUUAUUUAUUAUUUAUGAGGGCCUACCACUCUUCAGCGGGUUGUUUGUUU